rnacentral:miRNA from 1 species
AGCCUGGAAGCUGGAGCCUGCAGU